rnacentral:lncRNA from 1 species
UCCCCACUUUAAUUGAAAUUCAGCUUGCUGUAACACCUCCUUCCUCCUGGCCAACUGGAUCUCUCCAUUCACAUGAGGGAGAACAAAACCGAGAAGGCCCCAGGGAUUAGAGAGUUUUGACAGCUGUCCAAGAGGAGCGCGGAGAUACGGGCCAAGUACGGAGGCAGGACAGAGACAAACGAGGGACAAGAGAGUGACGGAGGGAGGGAGAGAUAGGCAGGGAGACAUCACAGGAGCAUUAAACUGGACAAAGAGUCACAGAGACAGGCGGAGAUGUUUAAAGGGGCGCUGAAAAGGGGAAAAGGACGAGAAAAGAUAAAAAGGAGAGAAACUGUGGCGAGCUGGUGAGGAAAAUGUGAGAGGCUCAGGAGGGCAGGGAGACAGAAGAGAGCUCGUCAGGAAGGAGGGGAAGAAAGGCCGGCCUCUAGGGACAGGUCAGUCCAGCUUGGAGACCGAUCUGAAGAUCCAGAGAAGGCGGGCGGGCAGCCUGGUGGUCCCCUCACACACCUGGGAGUGGAGUGGACGGAGGAGGUGGCCGCGGGGCCGGGAGGAGCACCG